GGGGGGGGGGGGGGGGGGGGGGGGGGGGGGCGGGGCGGGGGGGGGGGCGCGGCGGGGGGGGGGUGCUCGGGGGGCGGACGGGUGGGUAACACGUGAGUGACCCGCCCUUGACGUGGGGAUAACGUCCGGACACGGGGGCUAAUACCGGGUAGGAGCUCCUGCUGCGUGGUGGGGGGUGGCCAGUUUCGGCGGUUGGGGAUGGACUCGCGGCUUAUCCGCUUGUGGGUGGGGUAGUGGCUUGCCACGGCUUCGACGGGUAGCCGGCCUGAGAGGGUGACCGGCCACAUUGGGACUGAGAUACGGCCCAGACUCCUACGGGAGGCAGCAGUGGGGAAUAUUGCACAAUGGGCGGAAGCCUGAUGCAGCAACGCCGCGUGCGGGAUGACGGCCUUCGGGUUGUAAACCGCUUUCGCCUGUGACGAAGCGUGAGUGACGGUAAUGGGUAAAGAAGCACCGGCUAACUACGUG
rnacentral:rRNA from 1 species